UACGUAGGGGGCUAGCGUUGUCCGGAAUCAUUGGGCGUAAAGCGCGCGUAGGCGGCCCGGUAAGUCCGCUGUGAAAGUCGGGGGCUCAACCCUCGAAUGCCGGUGGAUACUGUCGGGCUAGAGUGCGGAAGAGGCGAGUGGAAUUCCUGGUGUAGCGGUGAAAUGCGCAGAUAUCAGGAAGAACACCGACGGCGAAGGCAGCUCGCUGGGACGGUACUGAGCUGAGGCGCGAAAGCGUGGGGAGCGAACAGG
rnacentral:rRNA from 1 species